AUUGAACGCUGGCGGCAUGCUUUACACAUGCAAGUCGAACGGUAACAGGCCGCAAGGUGCUGACGAGUGGCGAACGGGUGAGUAAUGCAUCGGAACGUGCCCAGUCGUGGGGGAUAACGCAGCGAAAGCUGCGCUAAUACCGCAUACGAUCUGUUGAUGAAAGCGGGGGACCGAAAGGCCUCGCGCGAUUGGAGCGGCAGAUGUCAGAUAAGGUAGUUGGUGGGGUAAAGGCCCACCAAGCCAACGAUCUGUAGCUGGUCUGAGAGGACGACCAGCCACACUGGGACUGAGACACGGCCCAGAAUCCUACGGGAGUCAGCAGUGGGGAAUUUUGGACAAUGGGCGCAAGCCUGAUCCAGCAAUGCCGCGUGCAGGAAGAAGGCCUUCGGGUUGUAGACUGCUUUUGUACGGAACGAAACGGCUCUGGUUAAUACCUGGGGCUAAUGACGGUACCGUAAGAAUAAGCACCGGCUAACUACGUGCCAGCCGCCGCGGUAA
rnacentral:rRNA from 1 species